AUUGAACGCUGGCGGCAGGCCUAACACAUGCAAGUCGAGCGGAUGAAGGGAGCUUUCUCCUGGAUUCAGCGGCGGACGGGUGAGUAAUUCCUAGGAAUCUGCCUGGUAUUGGGGGAUAACGUCCGGAAACGGGCGCUAAUACCGCAUACGUCCUGAGGUAGAAAGUGGGGGAUCUUCGGACCUCACGCUAUCAGAUGAGCCUAGGUCGGAUUAGCUAGUUGAUGGGGUAAAGGCCUACCAAGGCGACGAUCCGUAACUGGUCUGAGAGGAUGAUCAGUCACACUGGAACUGAGACACGGUCCAGACUCCUACGGGAGGCAGCAGUGGGGAAUAUUGGACAAUGGGCGAAAGCCUGAUCCAGCCAUGCCGCGUGUGUGAAGAAGGUCUUCGGAUUGUAAAGCACUUUAAGUUGGGAGGAAGGGAAGUAAGUUAAUACCUUGCUGUUUUGACGUUACCAACAGAAUAAGCACCGGCUAACUUCGUG
rnacentral:rRNA from 1 species